AUCUUCAGGGCGAGGUGAAAUUCCUCACUGGCGGUAACGCAUAAAUGUGCGAAGCCCGCGACCCCAGCUAGUUUCUUUUAACUGUAGUGCUCAUGAGUAAUGCGGCAUAAAAGAUUUUAACUGGGUUGAUUCGGUGAAAAUCCGAGGCCAACGGUUAAAGUCCGGAUGGAAGAAGAUG
rnacentral:ncRNA from 1 species